rnacentral:misc_RNA from 1 species
GAAAUGCGAUACGUAGUGUGAAUUGCAGAAUUCAGUGAAUCAUCGAAUCUUUGAACGCACAUUGCGCCCUUUGGUAUUCCAAAGGGCAUGCCUGUUCGAGCGUCAUUUGUACCCUCAAGCACGGCUUGUGUGUUGGGCCCCCGUCCCCGGUUUCCCCCGGGGACGGGCCCGAAAGGCAGCGGCGGCACCGCGUCCGGUCCUCGAGCGUAUGGGGCUUUGUCACCCGCUCUGUAGGCCCGGCCGGCGCCAGCCGACACCCAACUUUAUUUCUAAGGUUGACCUCGGAUCAGGUAGGGAUACCCGCUGAACUUAA